rnacentral:rRNA from 1 species
CCGGUAAACGGCGGCCGUAACUAUAACGGUCCUAAGGUAGCGAAAUUCCUUGUCGGGUAAGUUCCGACCUGCACGAAUGGCGUAAUGAUGGCCAGGCUGUCUCCACCCGAGACUCAGUGAAAUUGAACUCGCUGUGAAGAUGCAGUGUACCCGCGGCAAGACGGAAAGACCCCGUGAACCUUUACUAUAGCUUGACACUGAACAUUGAGCCUUGAUGUGUAGGAUAGGUGGGAGGCUUUGAAGUGUGGACGCCAGUCUGCAUGGAGCCGACCUUGAAAUACCACCCUUUAAUGUUUGAUGUUCUAACGUUGGCCCGUUAUCCGGGUUGCGGACAGUGUCUGGUGGGUAGUUUGACUGGGGCGGUCUCCUCCUAAAGAGUAACGGAGGAGCACGAAGGUUGGCUAAUCCUGGUCGGACAUCAGGAGGUUAGUGCAAUGGCAUAAGCCAGCUUGACUGCGAGCGUGACGGCGCGAGCAGGUGCGAAAGCAGGUCAUAGUGAUCCGGUGGUUCUGAAUGGAAGGGCCAUCGCUCAACGGAUAAAAGGUACUCCGGGGAUAACAGGCUGAUACCGCCCAAGAGUUCAUAUCGACGGCGGUGUUUGGCACCUCGAUGUCGGCUCAUCACAUCCUGGGGCUGAAGUAGGUCCCAAGGGUAUGGCUGUUCGCCAUUUAAAGUGGUACGCGAGCUGGGUUUAGAACGUCGUGAGACAGUUCGGUCCCUAUCUGCCGUGGGCGCUGGAGAACUGAGGGGGGCUGCUCCUAGUACGAGAGGACCGGAGUGGACGCAUCACUGGUGUUCGGGUUGUCAUGCCAAUGGCACUGCCCGGUAGCUAAAUGCGGAAGAGAUAAGUGCUGAAAGCAUCUAAGCACGAAACUUGCCCCGAGAUGAGUUCUCCCUGACUCCCUGAGAGUCCUGAAGGAACGUUGAA